rnacentral:rRNA from 1 species
GCGUGAGUGAUGAAGGCCCUAGGGUUGUAAAGCUCUUUCGCUAGAGAAGAUAAUGACGGUAUCUAGUAAAGAAGCCCCGGCUAACUUCGUGCCAGCAGCCGCGGUAAUACGAAGGGGGCUAGCGUUGUUCGGAUUUACUGGGCGUAAAGCGCACGUAGGCGGAUUGGUCAGUUAGGGGUGAAAUCCCAGAGCUCAACUCUGGAACUGCCUUUAAUACUGCCAGUCUAGAGUCCGGAAGAGGUAAGUGGAAUUCCAAGUGUAGAGGUGGAAUUCGU